UACAGAGGGUGCGAGCGUUAAUCGGAAUUACUGGGCGUAAAGCGCACGUAGGUGGCGACGUAAGUCGGGUGUGAAAGCACCGGGCUCAACCUGGGAAUUGCAUUCGAGACUGCAUUGCUGGAGUACGGAAGAGGAGGGCGGAAUUCCCGGUGUAGCGGUGAAAUGCGUAGAUAUCGGGAGGAACAUCAGUGGCGAAGGCGGCCCUCUUGUCCAGUACGGACACUCAAGUGCGAAAGCAUGGGGAGCAAACAGG
rnacentral:rRNA from 1 species